UCCUAAUAGUAACACGUUUUCAACUUGAGUUUAUAUUGUUCUAACGUACGUAUAUACAUAAUAUUGUUAAGUUCAUAAUUUCGUUCAUUUUAAUUUUGUUUUUAGGUUUGUUCAAUAAAACUAGCCAGUUCAAAGGAAGAGGGCGGUUCAACAUUUUCUGGAAAUCCCUUUCCCGAAACACCGGUAUAGUAUUAAUCAAAUGGUUU